rnacentral:lncRNA from 1 species
CAUCACAUCCUCUCUCUUCUUUCCUACCCAACAUCACUCACCAUCUCUGUCAUCCUAAACCUCCCAAUCAUUGCCCUAACAGUCAUGGUUGUGCUGCUCGGUCGCCUUAGAAAAUUAUACGACAACAACCUUCCCUACCCCACAUCUACACCAAAGUCAAGUUGAACCCUUCUCGGGUUUAUUCACCUUCUUCCCUACCCAACAUCACUCACCAUCUCUGUCAUCCUAAACCUCCCAAUUGUUGCCCUAACAGUCAUGGUUGUGCUGCUCGGUCGCCUUAGAAAAUUAUACGACAACAACCUUCCCCACCCCACAUCUGCACCAAAGUCAAGUUGAACCCUUCUCGGGUUUAUUCACCUUCUUCCCUACCCAACAUCAUUCACCAUCUCUGUCAUCCUAAACCUCCUAAUUGUUGCCCUAACAGUCAUGGUUGUGCUGCUCGGUCGCCUUAGAAAAUUAUACGACAACAACCUUCCCCACCCCGCAUCUACACCAAAGUCAAGUUGAACCCUUCUCGGGUUUAUUCACCUUCUUCCCUACCCAACAUCACUCACCAUCUCUGUCAUCCUAAACCUCCCAAUUGUUGCCCUAACAGUCAUGGUUGUGCUGCUCGGUCGCCUUAGAAAAUUAUACGACAACAACCUUCCCCACCCCCACAUCUACACCAAAGUCAAGUUGAACCAUUCUCGGGUUUAUUCACCUUCUUCCCUACCCAACAUCACUCACCAUCUCUGUCAUCCUAAACCUCCCCAAUCGUUGCCCUAACAGUCAUGGUUGUGCUGCUCAGUCGCCUUAGAAAAUUAUACGACAACAACCUUCCCGUUCCCACAUCUACACCA